UAGCUUAAUUGUUAAAGCACUCGUCUUACAUACAAGAGACGUGUGUUCGAAUCCCAC
rnacentral:tRNA from 1 species